GAACACACCUCAGAUGAUCCAAUGACAUAGAGUACACUAUCAACAGUCACACUCCUGUUGGACUUUGUAUGAGUUCUCUGCCGUAAGAAAGGAGUAGUAGGGUGGUAAAGUACAACUCACUGAUAUCUCUAUACGUUAUAAAGGGCAAACUCCAGUGAGCUUCUCCUGCAUAAAGGGCUGAGCUGCCCCCAUAUAAUACAUAACGAUAGUAGAGAAGCUCCCUGAGGUUUUCCCGUGAUAAUGCAUAGUUGUUAUGACUGUUAUUGACACUGCUUUUUAUCCUAGGUGUCUCCAGCACCUAUUAGACAGCUCGGCUAGAGUAAUAAAGGGGCAGCUUCAACUCUAAUCGCAAGGUUUACAUGGCUUCCAAGAGUUGGGAAAAGCCAAAAGAUAUUGUAAAUUGUUUGUGACUAUGUUUACAAUUAACAGCCCUGUCCACACUGUGUUUUGAUGAGUAAGAAAUGAGAGCUAUUACUUGUACAUUUGAUUUAACACGGAUGAAGUAUAUCUUAGGUCUCUAACCAAGACCCACAUAGUCUUUAGGGUGUUCUCUAAUGACCACAGGUAGGUCAACCAACCAAGCAAUCAUUUUUACAGAUCCUUCUGCGAAUGUGUGAGACAAUCCUUUAAACCAAACAAGAAUCACAUUCGGAACAUGGUCUGGGCCAGUGCUGGUCUAGAGCAUACGUUUCAGAUUCUGGAAACAAAUGCAAAGAAAAAAAUGACAAAAAAUGGAAUAAUGCAUAAAAUAAAAAUAUCUUUAGGCUGAAUGAUGCACAUAAAUGUUUUUGAUCUGCAAUGACUCCCAGUAGGCCAUAGUUUGGCAGUCUUGAUGGAGCAUUACUUAAGUUGUUCUUCUAAAUUCUCAUUUUUUAAUUAAAACAAAUGACUUCUUUUUGUACCUACAAAAACAAAAUUAUGUUAUGACUUUGCUUUGUUCUUGAUACCUUUUAUGUGUUUUUUUUUAUUAUUAUUCUUUUUUGCCCAAAGUUGUAAAGCAUAUCCCAAAGGAAUUUUUCUCCCAAGCUGGGAACAUCUACAAAUAUUUGUAUGGUCUUGAGACUUGUAUAAAUGAAGAUUAUAUGCAAGUAUGGGGUAACAUCAGACGCCCCAUCAGCUGUGAAUUAAUAUGUUUUUGGAUGAGUAGCAUCUGCGUCAUAUUUCUCUGUGAGACGAAAGUGUGUACAUAUCGAAUUCUUAACGAAAAAGACAAGAUGUUGCCAUCAUUUCUAUAUCUGGUUGUGCGAUUGUGAAGAUUGCCGGCAUGAGGUCGACUGGAACUUAUGUGUGUGAUUUCUCUAUCUUCUUUUGUAAGAAGCGUUUUUAAGUAGAUGUAAGAGAGGAAUGCCUUUUCUCCGUGGCAUAUAUUGAGCCACGGGCACCUGUCUUUGGUGAUCAACAGUAAUUUGUGGUAUCACUGCACAUCCACUGCACUGUUAUUAGGAGUUUGUGGGAGCCACAUGUUGUUUAAAAAAAUAAUAUACACAGAGUAAAGUAGGGGGAUACCAGGAUAAUGGUGGGAUUCACAGAGCAGCACACAUAGGGAACCCGCCAAAUAUCUUUGUUACUUUAUAUAGCCUGCCUGUUCUCUGUCCUUCCGCAGGCAGGUCAGUGUAUAAUAAUCUUGUAUGCAUGUUUUAUGGAAUAAUUUCUGAUCUCAACUGUAUGUUGUAUAAUAUAAAAUGAAGACUUUAUGUGGGAAGGGCAGCGGGGGGGAAAUGCAGAAUUUGAAGUUUUUUUUGUUUCUUAAUAAAGCUUUUGGUAUAUCA